AGCUUCCACAUGCUUAACAACAGGUUGUAUUCUUAUUCUGUCUGUAUAGAAAGGGGGCAGAGUAAACCUACCCCAUGGACAUCUCAGCCCAGGCUACUGUACCAAGUAUGGCUUGUGAAAGGGGAGACCUUA